rnacentral:rRNA from 1 species
UACGUAGGGUGCAGGCGUUAAUCGGAAUUACUGGGCGUAAAGCGUGCGCAGGCGGUUUGCUAAGACAGGUGUGAAAUCCCCCGGGCUUAAACCUGGGAACUGCGCUUGUAACUGGCAAGCUAGAGUGUGGCAGAGGGGGGGUGGAAUUCCCGGGUGUAGCGGGGUGGGAAAUGCGUAGAGAUCGGGGAAGAACAUCAGUGGCGAAAGGCGGGUCUGCUGGGGCCCGUUGCUUGACGGCUGAGGCCGCGACAGCGGUGGGGGGAA